rnacentral:rRNA from 1 species
GACGAACGCUGGCGGCGUGGAUUAGGCAUGCAAGUCGAACGGUAUCAUCCUUUCGGGGGUGAGAGAGUGGCGAACUGGUGAGUAACACGUAGGUUAUCUACCCUCAAGACGGGGACAACCCAGGGAAACUUGGGCUAAUACCGGAUGUGAGCAACUUUUAGUUGUUUGAAAGGUGGCGUAAGCUGUCGCUUGGGGAUGAGCCUGCGUCCUAUUAGUUAGUUGGUGAGGUAACGGCUCACCUAGGCAAUGAUAGGUAGGCGGCCUUAACGGGUGGUCGCCCACACUGGGAUUGAGAUACGGCCCAGACUCCUACGGGAGGCAGCAGUCGAGAAUAGUCUACAAUGGUCGGAAGACUGAUAGUGCGACGCCGCGUGAACGAUGAAUCCCUUCGGGGUGUAAAGUUCUUUUAUAUGUGAGCAGUGCUUCUUAUAUUAACAGUAUGGGGAAGAGAUAUUAGCAUAUGAAUAAGCAACGGCUAACUCCGUGCCAGCAGCCGCGGUAAAAUCCG